GGAAAGGGCUACGGGAACACCGGUGGCAGCGCAGGGGAGAAAACCACCCGGAAAGAGGCAGCCGAGUGUCCCUGCCAACGUCCCAGCGUACCUGACAGGGACCAAAGCAGUCUGCCGAAACCAGCUGUUUGAAUGAUGUGAAACUACUGCAGGUGGAGGCAUCUCUGGCAGUUAUCUCAGCAAGGCUGUAAUACAUAGUUCUCUGACCUGGCCUUCCUCGAACUGUUAGGGGAAAACAGAUACAAUUCAAUGAUACCACUCAAUUUCUGAUGGUGCUUUACUUGGACAUGAUAUUUCAAAUACAAAGAAAAGAAAACCAAAACUGUUUGGAGCAACGUUGUGGCUUUUCAGUCUUAAUCUGAUGAAGUGUAGCAGAACGUGGCAUUUGGCCAGAGGGAAACAUGCCUUUUAUAUGGCAGAUAUAUCAUGGAUUUUGCAUUCAGAGGAGGAAAAAGCACAAAAGGAAAUGGCACUGUGACUGCCUACUAAGCAACAGAUCUGGAAAGUGCUUAAUAUUCAGUGUCUGAUGAAAUCAGUGGGAAUUGAGUUCCAACCCAGCUAGCUAGCUUAUGUGUUAUCAGUGCUGCUCAAUCAGCCUCUGCUCCAGCUAAGGAUACAUUUUUUGCUACAUAGUACAUGUUUCAAACACUUAAAUUCUAUGUGUGUCUAAAUUGAAACUUUCUUUUCUCAUGGCAUCAGUGACCUGGAAAUAGGCUAAGCUCAGCGGGAUCCUUAUACCCAUAAAGAGUACAAUUAUCAUUAAGCGAUUGCUCUAUGUCAGGCAAAGGAAGAAGCAGGCGCAUCAUAUCCAGAUGAAAUAAUAGGGCUUAUGAAAUACCAAGAUUGUUAUGCCUGUAUUCUGUUUCUUAGUUAAAUUCCUGCCCAGGGAGGUGGUAGAGUCGCCAUCCCUAGCAGUGUUCAAGGAUGAGGAGCUAUGAGAUAUGGUUUAGUGGUUUGCAGUAGCAAUGGUUGGACUAGAUGAUCUUGUGGGUACUUUCCAACCUUGUGAUUCUAUGAUUCUUCUCUACUCAGCCUCUUUUAGUUUCAUGAGAUGGAAAUGGAGCUGUAUUGCUAAUGAUAAUAAACUUGGCUGUGAAAUUAUUCUGGUAGUUAUUUAAAAAUAUACUUCUCAGGUGGGAUCCACCUGGUCUUGCAUUGCUGCAGGGAAUAACUUCUGCGUGUUUUUGGGUUUGCAGCCUGGACUGUAAAAUGAUUGUCUUGUGUAAAUAAGUUACUAGAAUGCAAUAUGCCCGUAAAUCACCGUUUGUAUAACAUAUGCUUGUGUGUCACUAUUUAAUUUCCUGGAAAAUAAGCUGAAUAUACAAUACAUUUAGGUUCAGAUGUGCAAAUGGAUGUUGGCAGCUACGAGAAAGGCACUACAGCAUUGAUCACAGUUGGGUCAAAUGAAAGCUGUACUGAAAGACUGUAUCGUGAGGGGAUAUGCAUUAAAAUCUAGCUUUUAUUUUUGUGAAAUAUUUUGUGAAAUAUCUCAGUGCCACUUGAUAUCCUGAAUUUCUUGGUGAAAAUCUACAUUUUGAAGAGAAGCAGUGGCCCCUGACUUGAAAAUGCUUAAGUACAGUGGUGUAACUGGUGUACAGACAGUUAAGCAUAAGUGACAGUGCUCGCAGGAUUUGGGAUUAAAGAUAAACUCAUCUUCGACAGAGGUACGUUAUCCUAAUUGCAUUUUAAAUUGGACCAAAUUAUGCUUUAAUGAUCAGUGGGAGCAGGAUUGUUAACUUCUACACAGCAACUUUCCAGAAAAGGAAGAAAAUGCGACCCCGUAUCUCUGGUAAAAGCACAGUCAUUCUGAGAAAGGAGCCUUUCAAUUUGUUUAGACUAUAAAACUCAAAUCUUUCCACUGAGACACAAAUACACUGAGAGACAAAUAUAAGGCAAGGUAUAGUGAGGCUGCCUUGUAGAUGACUGUCAUGUCAAAAAAUGAAACCUACUAAAGGUAAUAGCCCCAAGUGAGAUUUUUUUAAGUCACUCAUUUACUGUAAGAAUUCACCUGUUAUAUUAGUACUUCUAUAAACUUAUGACCGGUGGCCAUAGAUACGUUUGUAUUUAAUGUGAUCAAUUUAUUGAUGUCAUGGGUAAAUAACAUCAGCAGACUGAUAUACCUUUGAUCUUUAUGAGUAAAGCUAAUAACUUAUGUGGCACAGCCACUCAAUCAGGUGACUCUUCAAGAAUGAAUAUCAAAUUCUGGCACACAAAACACCACCAUAGCAACAAAGACAGCCUGGCAACAGCAGCUGCUGCAUCAAAAGAAAAUUGGAAGGGGAGGGAAUGAUCUUGUACAAAAGUCUAUUUCUUGUCAAAAGCAGUUUAAUUUUUUUUUUUCCUUCCCAUCAGCAUCAUAAAAUGUCUUUAAAAUAAUGAGAGAAUAAAGAUGAAUGCACAGUGUUUGGAAUUAUUUAUGACACAGGCGGUUGCUUUGUGUAUAUGAAAUGACUGUUACACUGUUACACUUCCUGGGACCAUAAUGUACAGUGGAUGAAUGGUCCUGGUACACAGCUGGCACCUGUAGAUCUCUGUGCUGCAGGAAACCAUACGUGGUUCCUCCAUGCAAUGCCCUGCCUGAGGAUCCUGAGGAUGAACGACCCACUGAGGAUGAAUGACUUUCUGACCCACUGGAACCUCAGAUACCCAGCAUGACAUUUCAUGUCACAAUAAGAUUAAUUUGUUACUGUAGCAAUUAGCAGAGCUCUACACGUGUGCUUUUCACACAUGCAUUCAUGUACAUUGUCAGAAGCUGAAACUGAUCUGGAUGCAAAUAUUUACUUUUACUAAGAAUCUUCCCUUACUUUCCUGUUAACCCUGUCAGGGCCUUGAGGGCACUAAGGCUAUAAAGGCCCUGACCCUGGGGUCUUCUUCCAGCCCUGCCCGUGGCACAGGGCCCCAUUUCUUCUCAGCCUGGGACCAUCAGUCACUGAUGGGGGAACUUUCCAUGGUGCCCAGCAUUGUUGUCCCCAAGGAUCCCUUGGCCCUUGUGUUGCCAUGACAUUCCUUGCCUAAGCUCUACUUUAGGCAAAACUAUUACCAGAAAAGCACUAAAUUACUAAAGUAUUUACCCAGUUAGAGUUACAAGUCAAAAAGCCAGUAGCCUGGUUCCCAGGAAAGGUGUUAAUUCACCCUUUGCUACAUAACAUAACUUGCUCUUGCUUCUCUAGUUUAUAGCAUUUUUAAUAGCUUUUAUUUUCCUUCUGCAGAUUGUUAAAACUUGCCUGUAAAACAUGCAAAAUAUUUAAAGAGUGCUGAAUAAAGUUAUUUGUGAAGGAC